UAAAAAAAACAUGCCAGUGGCCUCGUCCUCUUCGUCUCCCCCCCUAAAUCGCAGCUGGGAGCUCGCCGGAGAAUCCUCCUCCGCCCUCCUUCCUUCCCUUGCUCCUUCCUGCGAAUUUCCUACUCCAUCCGCGAUCUCCCGCUGCCGGCCGACCAAGCUUGGCGCUGCCGGCGAGAUGCACCGGCGCCGUCAAUCUACAGGCAUCGACGAGGGGCCAAGGGCGCCGGCACUCGAUCGGGUAAGACCGCAACUGAGAUCAGUGUACUGACCUGGACCUAGGGUUUAUGGGCCUGCGCUUAAUUCAGGUAACCAGAGAGAUAACUUCAUCUUAAUUUUGCCAGCCCCCCCCGUGUUGAACAUCUAUCUCUUUUGCGAUGCCCGGUCCGGAUUGCUUGCUGCAUUACCUAUUGCAAAGAGUAAGCCAGUAAAGCAUCUAACUACUCCCUCUGUUCCAUAAAGAUUUUCUCUUCUCAUGGAAUUUGUCAAGCUGCCACAUAUCCGGAUAAAAUACUAUGCAUGAAUCUAAUAUACUAGUAGUUCAGAGCUAAAGAUGGACAACAUAAUGCUGCACUCCGUUUUUCAAGUUAUCUUCAGCCAGCAGACUUUUCCCCUCCUGUGCUUGCCAUCCAGAUCUAACUUGACCACUAGUGCCCAUUAACACACACUCCCUCCCUUCCAUAAUUCUUGUCGAAAUCUUACAUGUAUCUAGACACUUUUUAGGAAUAGAUACAUUCAUUUUUGGACAAAUUUGAGACAAGAAUUAUGGAACGGAGGAAGUAAUAUUGAAUGUCUGAAUAUUAUUCGCACAACCUCAACUCCAUGGUUCAGUAUUGGGGCAUUGACCUUUAACCCGGACAAAGUGAAAGCAUUCUAAACUCACCUAUAUUUUUCCAGUAUUCUGAACCCGUCGCUCCCGCUGCCGGCGUCACCGUCACGCCGCCCAAUCCAGCCGCUGCGGCAGCCAAACGCAAGCGGCGGGGCGUUCCGGUAACCGUUCAGGCCGGUGCCACGUCCUCCGGGUUCCUUCCUGAGGCGGCGGGUAAUGACGGCCCGAAGCGGCUGAAGGAGACGGUUGUUCCAAGACCAGCGCCUUCCUCCACCACCUCUGCCGGUCGGAGAGCCCACCGCGAGCUACACGAUGCCGCCGCAAGCAAUGUGUUUGAGGAAACGCCGGAGAGUUACUAUUUGCAUUCGGUUUCGACAUCGUAUGUGAAUAUUUUGGAUGAGAAUGCGGUCAACAUUGAUACCGCACUUGGGGCAUUUGAUGCCGGCUUGAAAGAGGGUAAUGAAGAGGGUGGGGAUGAUAAUGAAGUGGAGGAGAUUGAGAAAGGGGUCAUCUAGGUUCUCAACCAAAUCAUUCAAAGAGAUCUUUGAAUUACACGGAUAUUGAGGAUGUCGCAUUGGUGAAGGCAUGGGACUGUGUGUCACUUGAUGCGGUGGCCGGCAAUGAUCAAACCGGAAAGAGGUAUUGGCAACGAAUCGAGGACAUGUUUCAUCGUCUCAUGCCGGUAGCAUCAGCACGCUCAUUGAGAUCACUCCAAGCCCGUUUUGAGAUAAUCAAGAGUUGUUGUAGCCGUUGGAGUGGUUGUUUGAAUCAAGUGAGGAAUGCACCUCCAAGUGGUUGCACUACUGAUGAAUAUGAUCAUAUUGCAAUGGAGAGGUACAAGCAAAUGUCAGCAUCCAAAAGCAAACCAUUUGUGUUUCAGCAUUGUUGGAAAUUACUUGAACAUAGUGAGAAGUGGAGGUUGAGGGAUCAAGAAACACCGCCAAAGAAAGGGGCCUUUGUUGAAUUGGAUUAUAAUGAUGAUAGAGAUGCGUUGAAGGGAGAAAUAAACCAGGGGAAGCCCGAUGGAAGGGAGAAGGAGAAGGCCAAGAAGCAAGCCGAGGCCACAAGCUUGAGGGAGAAAAUUGGUGGCAAGAGUAUUAUCUCCGAGGCCGCAAGCUUGAGGGAGAAAGAAACCAUUUGUGCUCCAACAUUUUUGGACUUGGUGAAGUCAAAGGAAACCUUGGUGGCCAAACUAUUGGAAACAGAAAUGGCCAUGGCCGAGAAGAAGCACCAAGACGAGAUGGCAAGGUGGCAAGAACUCCGGGAAGUUGAGGAGCGCAAGGUCGCCAUUGAUGAGAGGAGAGUCCUUCUCGAGGAGAACAAGGUGAUGGCGGAGAUCCUUGCCGAGGAGAACAAGGUGAUGAUGAUGGAUCCGAGAACAAUGGACCCGAUGUCAAGAGAGUGGUGGGAUAUAAGAAGAGGUGAGAUCUUGCAACGAAGAAGGCAAGCUAGUGGUGGUGCUACUUCGGCUGGUGGUGGUGGUGGUGCUUCGGCCGGUGGUGGAGAUGGUGCCGGCAAGCUUGGCGACGACGGUGUUUGAAGUGGUCAUCAGUGGUGUUCUUUAUGAACUUCAUCCAUAAUUCUGGGCUUGCGGCUUCAAUUUGGUUACUCUGGUAGAAUAGACUUGCUGUUUGCAAAGCAGAGGACCAUGGAUGUUUACUGUUUGUGUGUUCGUCUGGAGAUGGUGUGGACUUUCAAGCGUACAAAGCAGAGGACGAGGAAUGAUCUAUGUUACACAUGUACAGGAGUGGUUUUAUAGAUUCCAUUGUUGUGUGUAGCACUGAGAAUUCAGAGGUGCGAGUUCAGGGAAAUUUCCUGGAAGGAAGUCUGGUUUAGGGAGGUUGGAACUUGGAACCCUGUUUAGGCCAGGGUCCUCUGCUUCUUCUGUAAUUAAUUUCACUUGCUCGUGCUUUUUACCAAAUCUGUAUUUCUCGUUGGAGUUUUAGUGACUCUAUAAUCUGUUGCUGUUCUUGAAUAAUUCUAUAACAGUUAGUUCAAAUUUCCUGACGAACUUUGAACAACUCUUGGUUUGAACUUUCAACAAAAAAUUGACAAGCUUUCAGUAAUUUUCAGUGGAAUUUUAAAAAAAUUAUGAUCUUUCUAAAAACUUAACCAUCUUAGAAAAACACACAGAAUCAAAUUUCACCAACCUGCAUAGAGAUAUACUUAGAAAAUUUCAAAAUUUUUGUAGUUAUAAGCUGUCAAAAAUUUGGUAAAAGGUAAAAAGAACACACGCCCUAACCGUCCCCUCGCUGGUUUCCUCCCCUGCUCGGCCGCCGCACUCUGCUAACAAUUCAGGUUUCGUCUGCCCUUCCUCCUCCCUCCUCCUCUUGCUUCUUCUUCUCCCUUCUUUGACAAAGCUCUCUGUUUUCCUCUGAUCUUAUGCUCAGAUCCUCACCAUCUGACACUGGAAUCAACCUUGGUUGCGUACAGGUACAGGAUGGGGGCAGCAUCCAUGGAGACGGCGUCAAGGUGCAGCACGGAGAAAGAGAAGGGAGCUCACGUCUUCGAGAUCUCCGGGUACAGCCUCAAGAAGGGCAUGGGCGUCGGCAAGUUCGUCCAGUCGGCCACCUUCACCGUCGGCGGCUACGACUGGUCCAUCCGCGUCUACCCCGACGGAUUGACCGCGGUUACCAAAGAGGAUGUAGCGUUCAGCCUCCAGUUCAUGAGCAGCAAUGCGGAGGCAAGGGCCUUCUACGAUCUGAGGCUGGUAAAGCACGGGCGGUUGGGCAGGGGCAGCUCCAUGAAGGAACCGAUAGUAGGGGCAGCUCCAUGAAGGAACCGAUAGUGUUCAACUCUAGGGACGUUCAUCUGGGUAGAAGUAGAACACGGGCAGUUGGAUGCGUGCCAAGAAGUGAUCUUGAGACAUCAAAGUACCUCGACGACGAUCGCCUCGUGGUUAGAUGUCUGGUUAUUGUCAUCAAAGAGUCGUUGUUGACCAAAACCAGGGUUGUGUGCUCUGAAAUCGAUGUACCGCCGUCAGACAUUACGGAGCAUCUCGCCAAGCUGUUGGAAGCAAAAGAGCAAACAGAUGUCACUUUC